GGAUGGGAGACCGCCUGGGAAUACCGGGUGCUGUAGG
rnacentral:piRNA from 1 species